UACGUAGGUGACAAGCGUUGUCCGGAUUUACUGGGCGUAAAGAGCGCGCAGGCGGUCGUUCAAGUCGAGUGUGAAAGCCCCCGGCUCAACUGGGGAGGGUCAUUCGUUACUGAUCGACUCGAAGGCAGGAGAGGGAAGUGGAAUUCCCGGUGUAGUGGUGAAAUGCGUAGAUAUCGGGAGGAACACCAGUGGCGAAGGCGACUUCCUGGCCUGUUCUUGACGCUGAGGCGCGAAAGCUAGGGGAGCAAACGGG
rnacentral:rRNA from 1 species